UAGUCUGGGCACAUGAUUAGGCUUAAUAUCAAAAGGACCAGGCCGAGCGUGCAGUCAUGUCGGGACAUGUCCCUGCCGUACACACCAAUGGAGAGCUAACACAGAGCCUGAUGACAACAAACCCAAGUUUCUGGAACAGUCUGGGAGGACCCUGAACCUGCUGAGGCCACAGCUUAACACAACCUGUCGUUUUCUGUCGACUUUCCUGUCUAGAAGUGCAAUUACGGGGAGACCAAGGCACGUUUUCAUUAAAAAAUGAUUACAGCUCUACGUAGGAUGUCGGUGUAUCAUCUGCGUUGCACGUGGCGUGAGCAUCCGUGAGACCAGUGGGAUGUAAACAGAAGCGCCCCUGCCUGAGAUACAGUCUGGCAGGUCCGCCCGCAGAGACAUAAACAUCAGGCUGUGUCAUACAAGCUGUGACCCUUCCCACUAUGUCUGGGCACACAGUGUCAGUCUGAAUCUGUCCCUGUAUCAGUUUCUGAGUCAACAUGGCUUCUGGGAAAAUAACACUAUUUCAUUAAUCACAUUGUACGCCUCCCCCUCUGGCCGAUCAACUCUACAUAGACUGGCUUAGAGAGUAUGUGUCUAUGGCUUGUGAAUAUAAUGCCCGGGUGACAUUUAACAUCAUUUAAGAUUUUAUGGGUAUUACUUUUUAGUGGCAUUACCACUUUCUUUGACAACCAUGGUGAACGAAAGGGACCACUUGAACAACAAUACAAAUCAAAUACAUAGAGAAAAGCCCACUUACUUCUUCUUGUCCUUGUCCUUUUUGAAUGGUUGUUGUGAGCAGCCUUGGAGUGCCUGUCCCAUCAGUGUCUCAGCUGCAACCCUUCUUCUAUUGAAGGCAUUCAUCUCCUCCUCCAGUUCUCGUCUUUUCUCCUCCAGAUUCUUCUUUUCUUCUUGGUGCAUCCUCUUGAGCUGCUCAAACCUCUCGUGAAGCUAGAGAUGAUGAUGAUGAUGAUGAUGAUGAUCAUGAUGAUGGGACAGGACACAAUGUGAGACAAACCCAAUAUGGUAUAUUUUCAGUGAGUAGUUAUUUAAUGAUCAUUUCAAUCCUCACCUCUUUUUCCU